rnacentral:lncRNA from 1 species
GUGAAUGGUUGUAUCCCUUUCUUUUGCUCUCGGUUCUCUCUCAGCUUUCCAUCCCCUGUCUUUGUUUUUCGUCUCUGCUGGAAAUGGAGAAGGCAGUGGUCCCUUUUCCUCCGUGGCCUUCUCUGGCUUUUAUAAAGCCAGAGGACGGCCUCUGUUUCUUUGAGAAGCAAUAGAGGAACAAAAGUUUGGCUUCUCUUGUUUCCCCCUGCUCAGGACGAAGAAGAUGUUAAUAAAGGCAUGAUGUGCUGCUGGUUGAACGGAAGCUCUCUCCUCUGUGUUUUCUCGUUUUUGUCUCUUCUUGUUCAUUCGUCCGAUGGGCUGAGUUUGCAUCUUCUUUGCUCUUGGUUUGAGAUUCUUCACCUUCAGUUCUGAGGUGAAGGGACAAAGAAGAUGGUGGGGCUGCUCCUUGUUGCUGCGUCGCUCCUCUGCUUUUUCUUUUAUCAGUUUUCUUCCCUGUUUGUUCUGCUUCCUUUCUGCCUUUUUACCCCCCUCCUCUGCAUCCAGAAACCAGUUUCCCUCUUAAUGGGAUCGUGGGCAAGAGAUCUUCUUGGAAUUGCCGGAUUUGUUUCCUGUUGAAUCGGUCUGGUCCGUGCGAAACGGAAGGGAUGGUGAAUAGUGGGAUCAAAACGGCGUCAUCUUGUAUGGAAAAAAAUGACAGAUUAUGAAUUGGUCCUUUUUUGUUUGAAAUGUAUCAAUU